CCUGAUCCAGCCAUGCCGCGUGUGUGAAGAAGGCCCUCGGGUUGUAAAGCACUUUCAGCGAGGAAGAAGGCUUGGCGGCUAAUACCCGUCAAGAAGGACAUCACUCGCAGAAGAAGCACCGGCUAACUCNGUGCCAGCAGCCGCGGUAAUACNGAGGNUGCGAGCGUUAUCGGAAUUACUGGGGCUUAANGCCCGCGUAAGNUGGUUUGCCCCCCCGUUUUGAAACCCCCGGNUUCACCUNGGAAACGGUCCGGA
rnacentral:rRNA from 1 species